rnacentral:rRNA from 1 species
UCAUUUGCCCUCUAAUUAGGGGCUGGAAUGAAGGGUUGGACGANAAACUAGCUGUCUCUUUUAAUUACUUGAAUUUAAUAAUUUGGUGAAAAAGCUAAAAUGUUCUUGGAGGACGAUAANACCCUAUAGAUCUUUAUAGAUCUGGUUGNGAUUCUUUGGUUGUUANUGAAUUACAAUGAAGUUUAUUUUGUUGGGGCGACAUUGAGUGAAGAAUAAUCUCUCAUAAUGUUCUUACAAUUAUAGUUGAUAUAUGAUCCUUUAAUGAAUUUGGAUAAAGUUACCUUANGGAUAACAGCGUAAUUUCUUUUGANAGUUCUAAUCGACAAAGAAGUUUGCGACCUCGAUGUUGGUUCAGGAUUCCUUUUAGGCGCAGUAGCUUGAAAAGGUAGUCUGUUCGACUAUUAAAUUCCUACGUGAUCUGA